ensembl:lncRNA
GGGGGAAUGUGUGGAUUAUGGUACAUUAGAAUAGGUAUGAUCUAGAAAACUACUUGAAGCACCAUCUACAGAAAAAUGAGGACUUUCUGUCGUUAAUAGCUGCCCUUUUGAAGUGGGCGUUUCUGUCUGGAUGUGGAAGGAGGACUUCGUACCGGGUAAGGUAGACGCCCUUGAACCCAAACUCCCCAGGCACCAGCAAAACCGUCUCUGUCUUCUUAGGAAGAGGAAACUGGGCACGUGCGGCCGGUCGGGCCAAGACCAUUACGAAGUCCUGCAAAACUCACUGAGAUCAGGCGUGAAAGAUGUCAACAAACGACCUGGGCCAAAGCAUUCCAUGUGUAGGAUUGAGUGAGGUGUCGAGAUGUGGGGGCGCUAACCCUAAACCACUAGGGCUGCGGGGCCGGGUCUCACCCCGACGGCUGUGCUGGACCAAGCAAAUCCCGGAUUCACACGACACCCUUUGCUGUGACCAAUGCAGACGUGCAGUUCGAUUACCACGGAAGAUCUCCGAGCUGAGUCAACUUGACCCAAACGUGUGAAUCAUUUCGUUUACCAGGGAAAAGGGGGCCCGUGACUCCCUUCACUUUAGCGGCAACAAAAAGCGUCUAGCUGUGGGCAACAGCGCGCGCGCGUGUGUGAGUGUUGGUGUCAGCGCACAUAUUCGAUUUCCAAACAUCUUUUGAAGCUGUCUUCUCAUUUGUAAUUUACAAACCCAGUAGAUUUCAAAGACCUUGAUAGUGUUAUUAGACACCUAAAUGCACUGUCACCAUUCCUCCAAAAUUAGGUUUUUGCUGUACUCUUAAAAUCCUUUGCUAAGAAAUAUGUGAACUCAUCAUCCGAAUCCUCCUAUAGGAAACAGUCAAGAAAAAUGAGUUAAAUAUAUAAUAUGACUUAGGUAGUUUUUUUUUUUUUUUUACAAAAAAAGUGAGGCACACAAAAAUAUUCCAAUAUACUGUAUGCCACCUCAUUCAGGACAGCAGAAACAUUUCACGUUCCCACAAGAAUUCUUUCUUUGCCCUAGUGUCCUCAAAGCGGCUUCUGAUAUCCCCACUUCUUAAGAAAAAUAAGUUAGUGAAAGCCUUCACCCAAGUUUUGGGUGGGAUUCAACACUAAGCAAAAUAUGCUCAACAGAUGAUAGUAGAGAUGAAGCCAGAAAACAACUCCAGCUAUUUAAACUGCCAAAUGAGACAUAAAGCUGCAUUGUAAAAAUCAUCUGGAAAACAGGUUUUCCCAUUGAAGUCGCUAUGUGUUAAUUACUGUGAGCUGGAAGGCUGGAGAUCGAACGCCUGGAAGCCGACUUUCACCCCGCAUACGUAAACGGAAAAAGUGCUGAACAGCAGCCAGAGGGCUCCUGCUCCGACUCAUUGCCAUGCAUGCCUAGACAUUAAUAUGUGUUCAUGGAGGGCUCGUACAGUACGAGGUGUUAUUUCCUUAUAAAGAAACACCAGGUCUCGCUUUCCAUUCUUCUUACAAAAUUAUUCGCAUUAUUUAUGCUACAUUGAGCGAUCUAAUUUCUUCG